AUUGGGCCUCUUCUUCUCGUAUUUCAUUAAUUGUUUCAAAAUUUUGUAUUGGGAGUCGAAAUGAUCUAAUUAAUUGAUGGGUUUCAACUUUAACGGUUUGGGUUGUUUGGUUAUAUUGUCAAUAGUAUUGUGGGUGGUUUAGGCUGGAGUUUAAUGUUUAAUUAUUUGAGGGUUCUGGGUGAAGCUGGUAGAUUCAUGUAA
rnacentral:misc_RNA from 1 species